AGUUGGGAACUGCACCCAAUGCCUCCCUGCACUGAUACUAGCUGUUCAUGAAUGAAUUAUGUUCUCAUCCAUCAGCUGGCUGUGCAGGGCUGCCAGCAGAUCAGAAAAACCAGCCUAUCCUGCUCUUGUGCCUUUAACAAAAAUCUGAACCCUGGCUCCAAUCUUACCACUGCUAUGAACUCACUUGGUGGCCAUUGGCAAGUGCCUUUCUUGGCCUCAGCCUCACAUCUGCAAGACAGAGAGUAAUAAUGCUGACUUUACCUUGCAGAGUUUUGAGAGAGCCACUAGAGAAAGGUAUCUUUGUGAAGAAGCUAUUGUCGGAGCCAGGGAGGAACUGAAGGGAAAACAGACCCAAGAAACACAAGAACUUGAAAGAGACUGGAAAAGAUCCAAAGGCUGAGAGGCCUGAGCAUGUGUGAGAUGGACAGAGAAGCUGCACAGUUACAGGUGUGGUCGCUGCCCCCUGCCGCUGGCCUGUGUGUGACCUCUGCUUUAGAGACAGAGGGAGUGAAGAAAGAAAUAUGUGGGAUGGCAAUAAGUAAAUUGAAAUGUUUCUGCUAAUGCAGAUUUGCAUAAAUAUACCUGUUUUAUAUUCUUA